rnacentral:lncRNA from 1 species
AUCCCCUUGGUUGAGCCUGGUGUCCCAGAGCUCAGAGGUUCCCUAAAAUUUCCAAGAGCAAAGCUCCGGUGCCUAUCCAGGUAGAGGGUGACUAUGCUCCAGGAACUAGGGCAGGAAAUCUGAGAGCCUGACUGCUACUUCAAGGGACUUCCCAUUCCUCUCUCUGGAUUUUCCCUCCACCCUCAACCUUCAGUUAGGUGGUGCCUUCCAUAGCUCAGCUUCUCCCAGGUUCUGCAGUGGGAAUCAGCUUACUCCUUACCGGACUUUCCCCUUCAAUUCUCUCUGGCAUUAAGUUUCUGCCUGUUCUGCUCUGCCAGCAGCCAGCUUCAGCUCAACAAAGACAACACCCUAGGGGCUGGUGAACAGCAGGAUGGAAAGGACUUGGGUCUCUAAAUGAACACGUGAAGCAGAGCCACCCACCAUCCUGGACCAUUCGCCUCCAGACUAUUAGAAGCCAAUGUGAAGAGGAAAAAAAUAACAGAAGGAGGCAGAAAAGGGAAGGUAUGUGGGUUGAUGUCUCAUCAAAGGCUUCCCUGGCUGGAAAGUUUACCCA